GGGAGAUGCUCCUGCUGCACUCGCUCCUGAGCAGACCUCUUCAGGAACAGAGGGGUUAAUCUUGACGUGCAAGUCUCCCUCCGUUAUCAUAGCAGCCCGGCUAAGGCAGUGAGAAGAGUUCUUGGGCUGUGGAGAAGAGCAUGGGAUUUUAGAUGAAGAGUACAGAUAAGUGACAAGUGUUAUAUGCACCUCUUGGUUUUCAGUGAAACUGAAGAUGAUGCGACAGAAAGUUUUUGUGUGAAAAAUUUUUGAAACCUGGUUUUAAAUGUAACUGUGAACUUAAGCAGUUACAAUUCAUUCCAAAUCAGGAACACGAAGGAGCUGCGGAUCUAGUUAGGCAGAAAUUAUCAUAUUUUUUACACUAGAAGAGGAGAAAUAUAGAAGUAUUACCAAAAUUUACCUUAAUAUAAUCAUCACAAUGAAGCAUUAGUGAACAUAAAACUUAAUAACUUUGUUCCAUUUGAAUCAGAAAAUUCACAACUUUUAUGGGAUGCAGAUGGUGAAA
rnacentral:lncRNA from 1 species